GAUGAACGCUGGCGGCGUGCUUAACACAUGCAAGUCGAACGGAAAGGCUCCUGCUUGCAGGGGUACUCGAGUGGCGAACGGGUGAGUAACACGUGGGUGAUCUGCCCUGCACUUCGGGAUAAGCCUGGGAAACUGGGUCUAAUACCGGCUAGGACGAUGGUUUGGAUGCCAUUGUGGAAAGGUUUUCGGUGUGGGAUGAGCUCGCGGCCUAUCAGCUUGUUGGUGGGGUAAUGGCCUACCAAGGCGUCGACGGGUAGCCGGCCUGAGAGGGUGUACGGCCACAUUGGGACUGAGAUACGGCCCAGACUCCUACGGGAGGCAGCAGUGGGGAAUAUUGCACAAUGGGCGCAAGCCUGAUGCAGCGACGCCGCGUGGGGGAUGACGGCCUUCGGGUUGUAAACUCCUUUCGUCAUGGACGAAGCGAAAGUGACGGUACCUGGAUAAGAAGCACCGGCUAACUACGUG
rnacentral:rRNA from 1 species